UACGAAGGGGGCUAGCGUUGCUCGGAAUUACUGGGCGUAAAGGGCGCGUAGGCGGCGCAUUUAGUCAGGCGUGAAAGUCCUGGGCUCAACCUGGGAACUGCGCUUGAUACGGGUGUGCUAGAGGAUGGAAGAGGCUCGCGGAAUUCCCAGUGUAGAGGUGAAAUUCGUAGAUAUUGGGAAGAACACCGGUGGCGAAGGCGGCGAGCUGGUCCAUUACUGACGCUGAGGCGCGACAGCGUGGGGAGCAAACAGG
rnacentral:rRNA from 1 species